CCCGUUUCCAGUCUAUUGUUCUCCAGCAGGGCGUUGUCCCAGGGACACUGCCUGCCCAGUUGGAACUUGUUGCUAUGGUUUAACCCCAUGGCGAUUUGACUGUGUUUGUGGAAUCUGAGCGCUGUUCGGAUAUAGUGAGCGCUCAGAUCCAAGUUAUCUGGGGACAGGUUGAAUGUGGGGGUUCUGUUAAGUAUAAUAGGAAUUAUGUAUUUUCAUGUGUUU